CUCAAGUCGCUCCAGCAGCCUUCCUCUGUGGACUUUUUAUUCCCAUUGAACGUGUGUGGAAAAUUUUCAUCAUUUUUAUUGAGAGAAGGGACAUGAUAGUAACCAGGAUGGAAAAGGUUCUCCCUCCAGGGGAAAUGAAGAAGGUUGAAUCACUGGAUUUAUAGAGACGCUUUAGACAUUUUACUGGGUUAGGUAUGACUGCAAUGUGGUAGAGACAGAAGCUGCAGUCAAAGCUCCUGUGAUCCGGUGCAGACUUCAUAGAGACCAGCAGAUGGAGGGGAGAGGAGCUGCGUGCAUCCUGA